rnacentral:tRNA from 1 species
UAUUUUAAGGUGUUUAGCACAUAGGAUUUUGAGUCCUAAGGAGUUAAGAAAUUAUCUAAAAUAA